AUGUGGCCCGGCCCUACAGGGGCCCACAACAGCACUCUAGGAACGCGGGAGGAUAACGGACUUCCAAACGCGGUUGAGCUGGACCGGACCGGAAGGGGCCGCUGGGGCUGGACGGGCACAGCACGGCCGCAUGACCUGACAAGGGUGUUGUACCAGGGAAGCGGAGUCCUGAUGGAGCAAGGCACCAGCGCCUCACCUCCGUGGCUGUGGGUUCUCUGUGCCUUGAAGAAACAGUUAAGUCAAGACGCAUAGGCCACGCGAAAGUCUAGGUAGAGUUUAUUAUAAAGUAGAUGCAGAGAGAGUUAUGCCUUCAAGUGAGAAGGUGGCAGUGCCACGAAGGCCCCUGCUCUGAGAGGGAGUUUAAAUACCUUUUUAUGCACACAAAAGUUACUCCUGGGGUUCAGGGAACUAACAUAAUUCUGACGUUAUCAACAUUUUACUUAGAAGUUACUCUGGAAGUGUAGAAUGUCUUGUCCUUUUAGAUGGUCAGUGUUUCUAUGUCAUUUAGCACCUUGCAGAUCUUCUGGGGAGCACCUAUAUUUAGUUUAAAAUGAUAUUUUUAGUUGCAGUUCCUACAAGGCCUCUCUGGUCCACAAAAGGCCUUCACUUUUUGAUAAGGAACUGAUAAUCUUUUAGAGAAGAUGAAACAGUGUUUCCUCAAGGCAGGGGAGCCUUUACAGACCAUCUCCUUUCCUGAUAUCCUGCUGCGUGCCUUGUGUGGGAGUUUGAUGGCCAGGUGGCCAGGCAUCAGAAGGAAUGUGCAGUGUGUAACCUUAAAAUGUCUUUAGGUGUGAGACCUAACAAAUGAUUAUAAAUGUAUGCCACAUUGAUGGCUUUCUUUACUUAACCAGCAGUGUGUGCGAUUUUGGGUCUUUGUCCCUCAGGCCCACUAAUGUCUAACUUUGUCCCUUAUAUUUUGCUCCCUAUUCCUGCUGUUACAAGUGAAUAUGAAGAAACCACCUCUCUAGUAAUUUACCAUCCUCUGGAGAGAAAGCACAGGGCCUGAGGUGCUUGGCUGCUCAGGCACUGGGUUCUUCAGGGAGUAUGUCUUUCCAUCAGCCAUGCUAACUUUGUGCUCCAGCUGGUGCUCUGGCCCGACUCAGCUGAGGGUGCAGGACAGGGUGCUUUCGGGAUGGGUGGACCUACUCUGAAAAGGCCUUUGCUAAGUGGGAAAGGUUGGUGUCCUGGGGGAAGAGGCAACAUUUUCAAAAGGCUUAGAGUGCAGUGCCACCAGCACCUCAGGACACGGGUAGGGGUUUAGUUUGGCUGUGGAUUGAGGUCAAGUUGGAGGGAGGGGGUGGCAGGAAAAGAGCUUGGAGCCCCGGGCUGGACCUGGAUCAUCUGGGAUCUCCUAGAGGAAAGGCAGGGAAGGGUUUUGACUUUAUCCCAGGGCACUGGAAAGCUAGCCCGGGUAAAGGCACACACUGGCAUUUUAACACUUGGUGGGGUGUGUUUGAGAAACAAGGGAAGGCCAGAGAGCUGGAGCCCUGAGAGCACAGGAGAGGAGGCUUGGAGGAGUGGAGAAACGCUGAGGCUGGAUGGGGCUCACUGUUGGGUCUGACUGCAGCUUCUGAAGAACUUUCCAAGUAGGAUACUAGCUGUAAGUUUUGGGAGGGCAGGGGCUUUGCAAUUUUUGUUCCUUGUUAUAACCUCAGUACCUGGCACAUGCUGGGCAUCUAGUAAGUGAUCUACCUACUAAGUGUUGAAUGAAUUGUGGCUUCCUCUUGCUUAAACCCUUAUGUUUUAUGUUUUACUGCAGCUGUUGGGGUAAAGUAUAAUUCUUUUUUUUUUUUUUUUUUUUUU
ensembl:lincRNA